rnacentral:lncRNA from 1 species
AAAAAAAGGAUUUGACACCAAAUCGAUUUAGAUCCAAUUGCCUUAAAUGUGCACUUUAGGAAAUAGGCAGAAAUUCUUUUAUCUCCUAAUCUGGAUUCAACCAAAUUCAAAAUUCAAAAUUGAUUCCCACAAAUUACAGCAAUCAAUUGAGAUAGGUAAGGCAAUAUGGACGAAAAAGGAAACAUACCACAAUAUCGGCCAGAUCAAGAUAAAUAAGGUAAAGGCGAUUUUUGAUUUUUUUGAUUUUUUUUUUUACAACUAAUAAUCAAGAAGGUGCAGCCAUGGACACACAAGCUUUCACCGAAAAGAACAAGGAAGAAAAGGAAAACUCAAAAACCCUAGAUCCUAAGAUAAAUCAGAAUUUACCUCACUUUGGCUCUGAUACCAACUGACGCGGAACCCUAUGGCACAAGCCUCAAACCCACACGCACAAGUAGAUA